GACGUAGGGGGCAAGCGUUAUUCGGAAUUAUUGGGCGUAAAGCGCUCGUAGGCGGUUGGAUAAGUCUUGUGUGAAAUCUUCGGGCUCAACUCGAAGUCUGCACGAGAAACUGUCUGGCUUGAGUAUGGGAGAGGUGAGUGGGAUUCCUGGUGUAGCGGUGAAAUGCGUAGAUAUCAGGAGGAACACCUGUGGCGAAAGCGGCUCACUGGACCAUAACUGACGCUGAUGCACGAAAGCUAGGGGAGCAAACAGG
rnacentral:rRNA from 1 species